GGGGUUGUAGCUCAGUGGUAGAGCACUUGCCUCACAUGUAUGAGGUCCUGGGUUCGAUUCUCAAUACCA
rnacentral:tRNA from 1 species